CGUUGUUCGGAUUUACUGGGCGUAAAGGGCGCGUAGGCGGUAAUUCAAGUCAGUUGUGAAAUCUCCGAGCUUAACUCGGAACGGUCAACUGAUACUGUUUUACUAGAGUACAGAAAGGGCAAUCGGAAUUCUUGGUGUAGCGGUGAAAUGCGUAGAUAUCAAGAGGAACACCAGAGGCGAAGGCGGGUUGCUAGGCUGAUACUGACGCUGAGGCGUGAAAGCUAGG
rnacentral:rRNA from 1 species